rnacentral:rRNA from 1 species
UACGUAGGGGGCAAGCGUUGUCCGGAAUCAUUGGGCGUAAAGAGCGCGUAGGCGGCCCUGUAAGUCCGCUGUGAAAGUCAAGGGCUCAACCCUUGAAUGCCGGUGGAUACUGCAGGGCUAGAGUCCGGAAGAGGCGAGUGGAAUUCCUGGUGUAGCGGUGAAAUGCGUUGAUAUCAUCUGGAAUACCGGAGGCGAAGGCGGCUCACUGGGAGUUUUCUGACGCUGAGGAACGAAAGCCAGGGUAGCGAACGGG